rnacentral:rRNA from 1 species
CCUACGGGGGGCAGCAGUGAGGAAUAUUGGUCAAUGGGCGGAAGCCUGAACCAGCCAAGUAGCGUGCAGGAUGACGGCCCUACGGGUUGUAAACUGCUUUUAUACGGGAAUAACGCGCCUCACGUGUAGGGCUUUGUAUGUACCGUAUGAAUAAGGACCGGCUAAUUCCGUGCCAGCAGCCGCGGUAAUACGGAAGGUCCGGGCGUUAUCCGGAUUUAGUGGGUUUAAAGGGAGCGUAGGCCGUAUGUCAAGCGAGCUGUGAAAUGUCCGGGCUCAACCCGGGCCUUGCAGCGCGAACUGGCGUGCUUGAGUCCGCGGAAGGCAGGCGGAAUUCGUCGUGUAGCGGUGAAAUGCUUAGAUAUGACGAAGAACCUCGAUUGCGAAGGCAGCUUGCUGCAGUGGAACUGACGCUGAUGCUCGAAAGCGCGGGUAGCGAACAGGAUUAGAUACCCUAGUAGUC